rnacentral:rRNA from 1 species
AAAGAUUAAGCCAUGCAUGUCUAAGUAUAAGCAAUUAUACCGUGAAACUGCGAAUGGCUCAUUAAAUCAGUUAUCGUUUAUUUGAUAAUACCUUACUACUUGGAUAACCGUGGUAAUUCUAGAGCUAAUACAUGCUGAAAAUCCCGACUUCGGAAGGGAUGUGUUUAUUAGAUAAAAAACCAAUGCCCUUCGGGGCUCUUUGGUGAUUCAUGAUAACUUUACGGAUCGCAUAGCCUUGCGCUGGCGACGGUUCAUUCAAAUUUCUGCCCUAUCAACUUUCGAUGGUAAGGUAUUGGCUUACCAUGGUUUCAACGGGUAACGGGGAAUUAGGGUUCGAUUCCGGAGAGGGAGCCUGAGAAACGGCUACCACAUCCAAGGAAGGCAGCAGGCGCGCAAAUUACCCAAUCCCGACACGGGGAGGUAGUGACAAUAAAUACUGAUACAGGGCUCUUUUGGGUCUUGUAAUUGGAAUGAGUACAAUUUAAACCUCUUAACGAGGAACAAUUGGAGG